CCGAGACUCAGAUGCCACUAGCUGGCGCUGACAUCUUGCCCUCAAAACUUAAACCUCCAGGGUGCACGCGCAGAUGCGUAUACACGCUAAAGAUUGCGUGAGCACGCUAAGGAUUGCGUGGGCACGCCGGUAAGAGUGAGCAGCCAACCAGGGUAUUGACACGUCACAAGGCCGCUAGCAUAAUGGUCCUAGUCAUCAGGCGGGGUAAAAGUAAGCAGCCAGUCAGGGUAUUCACACGUCACUCAGGUGCGACCCCGGCUUAUAUAAACAGCGCUACUCCGGGGCCCGUCCUCUCCUUCGAUCUCUUCCCCGUUUCCCCGCCCGGGGCCGCGGCCCUCGGGAAGCCGCCCGCGCCCACGAGGUGGCCGGGCGGCCUCUCUCUCCCCUCUUCAUCGCGUGACUAAUAAAGUUUACUGCGGAAGGAUUCCUGUGGUCGCGUGCGUUUCUGCCGGCGAAACAUUCACGCGGCGGCUCCCAACAUCUGGUGCUGAAACCCGGGAACAUUGCUGGGAAGAAAACAAUCCAUUCUGGGUACCGGAGCGCCUCACGCGAAAGCUCGUGACAGCUGAAGAUGAUCUUCCAACAGACACACCUGCUACUGCUGAAAGAAUCAAGGACAGCGAGGAGGACCACUAAUUCUACUCGAGUGGAUUCAUUGCCCACAGACUGGCUUUACCCUGGGUUUCUUCUGCCUUUUCUUACUUCAGAUUGGGUGGGGGUCGGAAUGUUUGGUGUAGCAUUGUGUCGUGGCUUAGUGUUUUUUACUCUGGUUGUUCUGCAAACUCUAUACCCAAAAAAAACGUGACUAGGUCGCAAUCGCGCAAGCACUAGCACCCUUGGAACAAGGAUCGUCUCCCAAAAAUUUGGUUAUCCAUGUUAAAAAAUUAAAACAGACUGUGACACUCAGUCGAUGCACCUCAGGGGUUUCACCCAUUGCACUGAGUCGAUGAGUGAUCCAGGUUAAUGUUGCCUUUGCCUAAACGGUUAUGGUACCUAGACAGGAGGGUGACAGCUCUUGCACUCCCUGGAAUUUUAUUCCAUUGCACGGGAAUGAGUGUCACCUCCUUUCUGAGAUGUGGUACCUAGACAGGAGGGUGACAGCUCUUGCACUCCCUGGAAUUUUAUUCCAUUGCACGGGAAUGAGUGUCACCUCCUUUUAAAAAUCUUCUCCCCUAGCCCCUGCACCCAGAGGACUUGUUUCCAUUGCACCUGGUGGGGUAAGGGAGUAAUCUAAAGCUUUUGAUCGCUUACUCCCCAAAGAAGGAGUUUGCUUGAUCGAGCUUAGGGCCCUCUUGUACCGUGCUUAUAGGCUUUUAGGCAGUUUUCAUUUAUUUAUUUAUAACAAAAAGGGAGAUGUGGGGAGCCGAGACUCAGAUGCCACUAGCUGGCGCUGACAUCUUGCCCUCAAAACUUAAACCUCCAGGGUGCACGCGCAGAUGCGUAUAAACGCUAAAGAUUGCGUGAGCACGCUAAGGAUUGCGUAGGCACGCCGGUAAGAGUGAGCAGCCAACCAGGGUAUUGACACGUCACAAGGCCGCUAGCAUAAUGGUCCUAGUCAUCAGGCGGGGUAAAAGUAAGCAGCCAGUCAGGGUAUUCACACGUCACUCAGGUGCGACCCCGGCUUAUAUAAACAGCGCUACUCCGGGGCCCGUCCUCUCCUUCGAUCUCUUCCCCGUUUCCCCGCCCGGGGCCGCGGCCCUCGGGAAGCCGCCCGCGCCCACGAGGUGGCCGGGCGGCCUCUCUCUCCCCUCUUCAUCGCGUGACUAAUAAAGUUUACUGCGGAAGGAU